rnacentral:rRNA from 1 species
CCUACGGGGGGCAGCAGUGAGGAAUAUUGGUCAAUGGCCGCAAGUCUGAACCAGUCAAGUCGCGUGAAGGAAGAAGGAUCUAUGGGUUGUAAACUUCUUUUAUAGGGGAAUAAAGGUAUCCACGUGUGGAUAUUUGCAUGUACCCUAUGAAUAAGCAUCGGCUAACUCCGUGCCAGCAUCCGCGGUAAUACGGAGGAUUCGAGCGUUAUCCGGAUUUAUUGGGUUUAAAGGGUGCGUAGGUUGUUUUUUAAGUCAGCGGUGAAAGUUUGUGGCUCAACCAUAAAAUUGCCGUUGAAAAUGGAAGGCUGGAGUGUGUUUGAGGUAGGCGGAAUGCGUGGUGUAGCGGUGAAAUGCAUAGAUAUCACGCAGAACUCCGAUUGCGAAGGCAGCUUACUAAGCCAUAACUGACACUGAAGCACGAAAGCGUGGGGAUCAAACAGGAUUAGAUACCCCUGUAGUC